GACGAACGCUGGCGGCGUGCUUAACACAUGCAAGUCGAACGGAAAGGCCCUGCUUUUGUGGGGUGCUCGAGUGGCGAACGGGUGAGUAACACGUGAGUAACCUGCCCUUGACUUUGGGAUAACUUCAGGAAACUGGGGCUAAUACCGGAUAGGAGCUCCUGCUGCAUGGUGGGGGUUGGAAAGUUUCGGCGGUUGGGGAUGGACUCGCGGCUUAUCAGCUUGUUGGUGGGGUAGUGGCUUACCAAGGCUUUGACGGGUAGCCGGCCUGGGUGGGUGACCGGCCACAUUGGGACUGAGAUACGGCCCAGACUCCUACGGGAGGCAGCAGUGGGGAAUAUUGCACAAUGGGCGGAAGCCUGAUGCAGCAACGCCGCGUGCGGGAUGACGGCCUUCGGGUUGUAAACCGCUUUCGCCUGUGACGAAGCGUGAGUGACGGUAAUGGGUAAAGAAGCACCGGCUAACUACGUG
rnacentral:rRNA from 1 species